rnacentral:rRNA from 1 species
AACCUUACCAGGUCUUGACAUCCUUUGACCAUCCUAGAGAUAGGACUUUCCCUUCGGGGACAAAGUGACAGGUGGUGCAUGGUUGUCGUCAGCUCGUGUCGUGAGAUGUUGGGUUAAGUCCCGCAACGAGCGCAACCCUUAUUGUUAGUUGCCAUCAUUCAGUUGGGCACUCUAGCGAGACUGCCGCAGACAAUGCGGAGGAAGGUGGGGAUGACGUCAAAUCAUCAUGCCCCUUAUGACCUGGGCUACACACGUGCUACAAUGGAGAGUACAACGAGUCGCGAAGUCGUGAGGCUAAGCUAAUCUCUUAAAGCUCUUCUCAGUUCGGAUUGUAGGCUGCAACUCGCCUACAUGAAGCCGGAAUCGCUAGUAAUCGCGGAUCAGCACGCCGCGGUGAAUACGUUCCCGGGC